UACGGGGGGGGUAAGCGUUGUUCGGAAUUACUGGGCGUAAAGGGCUCGUAGGCGGCCAACUAAGUCAGACGUGAAAUCCCUCAGCUUAACUGGGGAACUGCGUCUGAUACUGGAUGGCUUGGAUUCGGGAGAGGAAUGCGGAAUUCCAGGUGUAGCGGUGAAAUGCGUAGAUAUCGAGAGGAACACCGGUGGCGAAGGCGGCCAACUGGACAGAUACUGACGCUGAGACACGAAAGCGUGGGGAGCAAACAGG
rnacentral:rRNA from 1 species